GUAAUACUUCCUCCGUUCGGAAUUACUUAUCACAUAAAUGAACAAAAAUGCAUGUAUCUAAAACUAAAGUACAUCUAGAAACAUCUAUUUCUAUCCAUUUCUAUGACAAGUAUUUUUGGACGGAGCGAGUACUAU
rfam:Hordeum vulgare subsp. vulgare, WGS project CAJW01000000 data, contig: morex_contig_45398